rnacentral:rRNA from 1 species
CACGUAGGGUGCGAGCGUUAUCCGGAUUUACUGGGCGUAAAGCGCUUGUAGGUGGCUUCGUAAGUUGGGCGUGAAAACACCGGGCUUAACUCGGUGACGCCGUCCAAUACUGCGGGGCUAGAGGAUGUCAGAGGAAGGUGGAAUUCCUGGUGUAGUGGUGAAAUGCGUAGAUAUCAGGAGGAACACCCGUGGCGAAGGCGGCCUUCUGGGGCAUUCCUGACACUGAGAAGCGAAAGCUAGGGGAGCAAACAGG